AGUAAGAAACCUUUUCAAAGACAUUGAUUAGUCUUUUUACCAAAAAAAAAUGUAGAUUAGUCUACAUCAUACUGCUAAAAGUACAGUCUCGUGACCAUGAUCGGUUGUCCGCAUGCCACGGAAUUGUGAUAGCUAUCAAGCUCUGUAGAAAUAAAAACAAGCCUAAAGCAAACUAAAUCCAAAGUUGGCCGCCAGAGUCUAACCCAC
rnacentral:lncRNA from 1 species